rnacentral:lncRNA from 1 species
UCUAAUCUCGCAUUCCCUUUCUUCUUCUACGAAGUUGCUGCUCGGUGGAGGGGGCGAGAACUUGGUGGCUGAGUUGUAGAAGAGGACCACAGCCACGGGAACGCACUCAUGGCGGCAGACGAAGGGGUUGGUGAAGUGGAUGUCGCGGUCGCAGUCGGCGCAGACGGAGGCUCGUCGGCCUUGCCGGCGAAGGAGGCCCGGGUCUGCUCGCACACCUAAAAAAAACAGAAGCGGCCAUGGCGCAACGGCAACAGAAUUUGAGAAGGCCCACUUGUGAUUAGUGAUAGUUUUGGUUCUGAGUCUCCUAAUAAAAUCUUUAUUGAUGCUAUUUUGUUUCUGCAUUUCGAUUGCUCAAAUUCGUGACAACUUGCCCCAAGUGGUGAUAAUUUGAUUGGUAUAAAUGUUUAUUAUACCAAUAUCAUUUUUCGCAUAUACUAGUAUAUUUCAAAGCAAACAUAAAACUAAUUUCCCACUUAUGUUGCUGUGAUUGAAUGUUUCUCCAGCCCAAUUGUAUAAACUCUCGAUGAUGCAUGAUUCCUUUACCUGAAAAGCUUGAGAUGCUGCUUCUUUAGUUGAUAUUAUUAGCCUAUUAUAAUCCCUAUUUUUUUCAUCCACCAUGUUUAAUUGAUAUUAUUAG